AAGCCAGACUAAUUUUUGUAUUUUUUUUUUUUUUUUGAGAUGGAAACUACGUGAAGAAUGCAGAAGCCUCAGGAGCCGAUGCGAUCAACUGGAAGAAAGGAUAUCAGAGAUGGAAGAUGAAAUGAAUGAAAUGAAGCGAGAAGGGAAACUCUGUCUCAAAAAAAAAAAAAAAUAAAAAGAAUUCACCCUCAGGUCUUUGAAUGCAAGGAGUCUAAUUGACCAAGAGCCC
rnacentral:lncRNA from 1 species